AGUGAACGCUGGCGGUAGGCCUAACACAUGCAAGUCGAACGGCAGCACAGUAAGAGCUUGCUCUUACGGGUGGCGAGUGGCGGACGGGUGAGGAAUACAUCGGAAUCUACUUUUUCGUGGGGGAUAACGUAGGGAAACUUACGCUAAUACCGCAUACGACCUACGGGUGAAAGCAGGGGAUCUUCGGACCUUGCGCGAUUGAAUGAGCCGAUGUCGGAUUAGCUAGUUGGCGGGGUGAAGGCCCACCAAGGCGACGAUCCGUAGCUGGUCUGAGAGGAUGAUCAGCCGCACUGGAACUGGAACACGGUCCAGACUCCUACGGGAGGCAGCAGUGGGGAAUAUUGGACAAUGGGCGCAAGCCUGAUCCAGCCAUACCGCGUGGGUGAAGAAGGCCUUCGGGUUGUAAAGCCCUUUUGUUGGGAAAGAAAAGCAGCAGGUUAAUACCCCGCUGUUCUGACGGUACCCAAAGAAUAAGCACCGGCUAACUUCGUG
rnacentral:rRNA from 1 species